GAGGGUAUAGUUCAAGUGGUAGAGCGUGUGCUUAGCAUGCACUAGGUCCUAGGUUCAAUCUCUAGUACCUCCA
rfam:Camelus ferus unplaced genomic scaffold scaffold1312, whole genome shotgun sequence.